CAUUCUAUUCGAGGCUUAUCAGUUCUAAACAGAUGCUUCUUUCAAAACAGUGCCAGUCCCUGAUGCCAUUUUCAAUUUGUUCAUCAUUUUAUACUUGAUGACAGAACUUCAUGUGAACCCUUCUAUUCCCCACAUGCCUAGGAGGUGAAUGUUUUUUCCAGAUGAAGACCCUCCUGCAACUCCUGGACAAUGAUAUACAACCCAGCAUUAGCCUGAGCCGACAAUGGAAUUGCACUGUCUGUGCGAUCCCUCAGCUGUGGUUAAUUGGAAGGUAUGGUAGAAGGCCACAGGGCACCUAAUUGCAAUAUUGAUGUAAGUCAAAUUCAUCCUCCAGACUCAGCUGAGGGGGUCUGCCCAGGGGCUGCUCUAGCUAUAAGCUAACUAGGCAGCUGCCUCGGGUGGCUGAUUCUGCCUGGGGUGGCAGGACACCCAGACCAAACCUUCAUGGUUCUAGACCUGGCGCUUACCGUGCCCACCCCACGCCCCCUUAUUCUAGAACCACUGAGCCAUCAGAAAGCUUGCCAUACUCCCCUAGAGAGCCCAAUGCGUACACCCCCCAGUUGAGAACCUCUGUUCAAGGUGAUGGGAGGGAUGGGUACACUGAAGUUUUGCCUUGGGUGGCAGAUUGUCUCGAGCGGCCUCUGCACCUAUUUGAAGUCAAGUUCAGGGCAGCAAUAGGACAGUUUAAGGGAGCCCCAACCCCACAUUAUUCUUAGUUUUAAAGACUAACUUCCUAUUGAGCACAUAUACAGCUCCCUUUCUCAUUAUUACGCCUCCUACCUUGCUCAUUAGUACUGGGGACAGAGAAUGUGACAGUGGUGGAGGAAGGUACAGUAUUUCCAAACUUCCUGCCUUUCCUGUUUGGCGACUGUAAUGCACAUCAUCUAUGUUAAGGUUAGUGGCCAAGAAUUUAGUUACUUGGUACUGCUGUAUUUUGAGUUUGAAUUGUGGCACUGAAACACAUGGUACAAAAGAGGAUGAGCUAUAUAGCAGUAAUAUAGGCUUGGUUGUUAAAUUAAGACAUCUCUCUUUUUAAUCCACGUUCUAAGAUAAAUUAGCAUGCUCUAUUUAAAGUGCAUGUAGUAAGUUUCCUUUUAUAGAUGUUUAGGAACUUAUUAGUAUAUGCAUGAGAUAAAAACAGCACACUUAAUUGCAUUUAAUGUUCAUAUUUUUGUGUUCUUGUUCAAAACCUACAUUUGAAUAGUUACAGUGGGAAGAUUUGUAAAGAUUGUUCACUGAUGCAGGAUUAAAACUAUAUAAGUGCUGUAGGUAUGUUGAAUCACAAAAUAAAGCUUGGAAGUAACUGCAGAAAAAGUUGAACGAUAUAAAAACAAAAGGGCUCACUUCUUGCAUCUGCUGAAAUAAUUUUAACAAAAGUUACUUUUUGCUAUUAAAAACAGCUUAACACUGGUGCAUGAGUUGGGGUAGGGAGAUGUGUGUGCGGGGAAGGAGGUUCCGUAUUUAACACAUUCUUUUGAAGGAAUGCCAUGGUAUUAAACAGUAUAUUGUGUGCAUACUAACCAUGCGUUAAUUGUGCAAGUCAACAACUGUCAAGUAGUAAUUAUCAAGAAAAGAGAUGCAGUACCUGGAUGGUAGUAAUGCUUCAGAUAAAUUGUACAUAGGUGCUCUGAUUACCAUUGUUUACUGCCCUGCGUCUCCCCCCGAACUUUGCUGGAAGUUACAACCCUUUUAACACAAUACAACAAACUUUCAAUUAGACAAACCAUGUAUUUGAAGUAUAAAAUGUUCCAGCUUCCAUAAUUCUUUAUUAAAUAUUUAACAAGUUGCGUCAUUUCAUUACAACAAUCUCAUUUUGUUACAUUGAUCUUUUGCUGUCAGGAAACAAACUACAAUUUCCUUCACUUCUCUUAAGAAAAUAAAUGGAAAAAAUGAUUUUGUCCUUAAACAAAAACAAAAAACAUUUUCCACUGUGUAUCAAAUCCAACCAUACUUUAAAGCUAUUUUGAUUGUGAAAAUGAGCAUUAUUUAUAAGUAGUAGUUUUCAGUUUGUUUGUUUUUUUACAUCAAUUUUAAUGUAGUUUAAUAUAAUUUUAAAUAGCCUCAUAUUCUCAGGCGGUUUUACAAUAAAAAGUUACGAAAGAUCGUGAAUUUCAUCUGGAAUGUUUGAAACUAUUUUUCACCUUUGGAAGUAGUCAUUUCAGGUUUAAAUUUGAAUAAAGGUCAUAAGUUCACAAACACAGAGCAUAGCAAAAUCAUCUUCUAGUGGUUUUAUUUGGGUUCUGAGAAUCAUAAUAUAUUCACUAUGGCAUGGCUUUGCUAAAGCUGCAUUGGAGACAAACUGCUCACAGUCCUCUUUAGAAGCCAAUCCUGAACACAGAAUUGAUUAAAGAAGUAUAAAAAUGCAUUACAUAUAUGUACUGCUGUAUGUGGGUACACACUGUGUUUAUAUAUGUGUAUAUAUAGUGGUAAAAAAGAACAAAAGCUACACUGACGUUAACUGAAAGAGGAAAACAUGACAUUCUAAAUGAAAGAGCAAUGUAGGAAAAUCCAGAUGGCUUAGAAGUAUAGAGGCAUGUGAUUAAAUAUGGUUUGUGGUGGUAGUCAUGUGAUAUGAAUGUAAGGUUAUGUGUGCAGUAUGACAGACCUGAGGGAUAUGUAACAUUAAUAUUGGUUAGAUUCCAGUUUUAUCAAAACAAUUUCCCCAUGCAUUUCAAACAUGCAUCGCUUUUUAGUGCAACGUCUAACAGAUGUUGGAAGAGAGGUCUUUUCCAAAAUUCCAUACAAGCAAAAGAAAAGACUUUUGCUAUUAAAAACACCCUCAUGCUUGUAAAACGUCCACUCUGCUAAUUAAAAGGGUUUUUUUCUUUUCAUCUUACAUAUUAAAAAUUCAGUUUUGUAUAUAGUUGGGUAUACUGUACAUAUAUAUGAAAAAGUGGUCCAAAUGUGUCACUUAUCCCUCCCGGUUAUAAAUUCCAGAACACAAAGGGCAAAAUCCAGGCCCCACUGAAGUCACUAGGAGUUUUGCUAUUGACUUCAUCAAGGCCACGGUUUCACUCAAAGUAUAUGAACAGAUUCUGUAUCUCAGAAGUGAGAUUUGCAACUAUGAUACCGAACUCCGCAGUCUUGAUCACCAGUCAGUAAAGGCUAAUCACAUAACAGAGGUAGUGAAUUUCUUUUGGGGUAGUGGAGAUGAAGAGGGGGGGAUGAGAUACUUGGUUAGUCUGUAGAGCAGCAUCCUCUGCUGGUUUGUCAGAAAAUAUUACAAGAGAGCACGCAGCUUGCCCUCCCUGCAUGAGAAGUUCAGAGAUAGGGAUGUCUCCUCUAGGAUGAGAAAUUUAAAAAUAAAAUAGAAUGAAAUAACAAAUUCGCCCCCCCCCCCUUUUUUUUUGGGUUAACUUCAGUGGGAAGACAAAAGGAAGAUAAAUUUUCAGGAAGACAUUAGGUCCAGUCAUAAUGAGUUUCUAUCAACUAGGAAUAAAUGCUGGAAUUAUGGUAUGUAACUGACCUGCCUUACAAGAGAGCCAGAGAUAUAAAAGACUCGAUGUGAGCAAGAAAUUACAAUAAUUUGGCCAGAUAGAAUCUUUUAAAAAAUACAAAUUCUACAAAAGUAUCUGUUUUAUGAUUAAGGGGGUGAACUAUUCAUACAUAGUCCGGGUCAAUGAAUGUGAAUACAGUAUUUGAAUAUUAAAGAAAGGCACCAAGUUAGAGCACAAAUCCAAAUGGAGCAAUCUCCUCAUUAAUUAAGGUUUAAUAAAUAAGAGACAUUUAGCCACCUUUCCCUUGGAAGAGUCCUUCAAAUACAAUGUCAGGAAUUCCAGAAGAACUUCUAAGAGGUUCGGUGUAUUAGAACAGAAACUCCAAGAAAUCAACUUUAUAUCAUAAUAGUCAAUGCAAAAACAGCUUCAACAUAUACAGUUCUUAGUUACAAAGUAAUCUGUAGAAUAGAAUCAAACUCCCUUAUAGAUGCGGUUUUGCUGAAGCACACACUAUGUACCUGGACCUCACACAAGUCAUUUGCAAAACUGAAGACAAUUCCCGGGUUUAAAGAACAGAUUCCACUAGUGGUAACAGCCUUUUGGCUGACACAAGGGGCAUUUCUACAGUAAGGUUUUUAGCCACUAAGGUAAGUUACCUUAGUGCAACAUCUGCUUUGCACUAGUACAGUGCAUUUACACUAGAGGUUUGCACCAGUGCAGCUACAUCAAGACAGCUUCACUGGUGGCUAAAAUCCAAGGGUAGACAAGGCCAAGCAUUGUGCUGGUCAGGAACUGCCCGUUAGCUAGAGCGAACGAAAAAGAACUUAUAAUAUGCAACACAUAAGGCUUUGUGCAAUAAAGGGGUUAGACUGAACAAUUCACUUUUCACAUUAUAAAUUUACCUUGGUAAUAGCCAGGAUUACUUGCUGGAAUACCAGGGUCUCUUAGAGACGCUGACAAAAAGGGACAGACUCACUUCUACAGUAAGGUUUAAGUUCUCUGGACUCUAAGGGGCUGGGGGAUAUUUUUUGAGAAACAUUUCUUGUACUUAUUUUCCAACAAUGAGUAUUUUCAGUGAUUAAAAAUACAAAUUUUCUCCUUAAGAACAGGAAUUUACCUCAAUACAGUAAUGUAUACUGAAGUCUUUUGGAGUUUCUAUUCUUAGUUUAUGUGUAAGUGGAUCUGAAAAGACGUUAGCCUAAUUUUCUAAAAGCCUGAUCUUAAAGUGUUAUGCUCCAUUAUUCCAUCUUUUGCAGUUAUAUAGAGCCUUUCAUCUUUACACACAGAUCUGAAGCCCAUUUUGCAGAUGGGGAAACAGGCACAGAAUUUAAAUGACUCAACCAAGGAGUAACAGUGAGAGUGAUGGCAGAGUUGGGAAUUUAACUCAAAUCUCCUGACUCUCAGUUCCCCCAGCCUAACUGCUUGACUACAUUAUCCCUUAUUACAUAAGCGUUAGUUUAUAUUUCAAGUCUAAAGCAAAAACUCAUAGGAGUCCUUGAAAUAAAGUUCUGUUACAUGGCACUGAAGCAAAACGUUACCUCCAAACAUACAAAAACUCUUCCAAUUAAGACAUUGUUUUUAAAAAGAAAACUGACCAUGGAAUAUGACAGAUUUUUAAAGGCAAUUCCAUGUUCUAGCUACAGAAGUUUGGCAUGUAGGUAUACAUUAGAAAGAUCAGAUCCCACUCUCUAAAAGCGUAAGAGGCUAUCAAUAUAGUGUUUUACAUCUAGUCAUAUCCAGCCCACUUCAUUCUCAUGUCUAUGUUUUCAGCU